CCUACGGGAGGCAGCAGUGAGGAAUAUUGGUCAAUGGACGAGAGUCUGAACCAGCCAAGUAGCGUGAAGGAUGACUGCCCUAUGGGUUGUAAACUUCUUUUAUAAAGGAAUAAAACGAGGCACGUGUGCCUUUUUGCAUGUACUUUAUGAAUAAGGAUCGGCUAACUCCGUGCCAGCAGCCGCGGUAAUACGGAGGAUCCGAGCGUUAUCCGGAUUUAUUGGGUUUAAAGGGAGCGUAGAUGGGUUGUUAAGUCAGUUGUGAAAGUUUGCGGCUCAACCGUAAAAUUGCAAUUGAUACUGGCAGUCUUGAGUACAGUUGAGGUAAGCGGAAUUCGUGGUGUAGCGGUGAAAUGCUUAGAUAUCACGAAGAACCCCGAUUGCGAAGGCAGCUCACUAAACUGUGACUGACAUUGAUGCUCGAAAGUGUGGGUAUCAAACAGGAUUAGAUACCCCGGGUAGUC
rnacentral:rRNA from 1 species